GACGAACGCUGGCGGCGUGCUUAACACAUGCAAGUCGAACGGAAAGGCCCUGCUUUUGUGGGGUGCUCGAGUGGCGAACGGGUGAGUAACACGUGAGUAACCUGCCCUUGACUUUGGGAUAACUUCAGGAAACUGGGGCUAAUACCGGAUAGGAGCUCCUGCUGCAUGGUGGGGGUUGGAAAGUUUCGGCGGUUGGGGAUGGACUCGCGGCUUAUCAGCUUGUUGGUGGGGUAGUGGCUUACCAAGGCUUUGACGGGUAGCCGGCCUGAGAGGGUGACCGGCCACAUUGGGACUGAGAUACGGCCCAGACUCCUACGGGAGGCAGCAGUGGGGAAUAUUGCACAAUGGGCGGAAGCCUGAUGCAGCAACGCCGCGUGCGGGAUGACGGCCUUCGGGUUGUAAACCGCUUUCGCCUGUGACGAAGCGUGAGUGACGGUAAUGGGGUAAAGAAGCACCGGCUAACUACGUG
rnacentral:rRNA from 1 species